CUACAUAAAUUAAGGGUGAUGUGGUGCACUUGCUCACUAAUCGCAUUAUAUAUAUACUUGAUCUUUGCCACAUAUAAAAUAUAUCGAGGUAAAAUGCCAUAUAUCCAUUUUGAAAGAAGAAAUAUACAUAUGGCAAAGAUCAAAUAUACAUAUAUAACUUUUGUGUUUCGAAAAGGUAAUUAGUUUGUGUGUGUGUGUG
rnacentral:lncRNA from 1 species